GACGAACGCUGGCGGCGUGCCUAACACAUGCAAGUCGAACGGAACUGUUUUGAAAGAUUUCUUCGGAAUGAAUUUGAUUUAGUUUAGUGGCGGACGGGUGAGUAACGCGUGAGUAACCUGCCUUCAAGAGGGGGAUAACAUUCUGAAAAGAAUGCUAAUACCGCAUGACAUAUCGGAAUCACAUGGUUUUGAUAUCAAAGAUUUUAUCGCUUGAAGAUGGACUCGCGUCCGAUUAGUUAGUUGGUGAGGUAACGGCUCACCAAGACCGCGAUCGGUAGCCGGACUGAGAGGUUGAACGGCCACAUUGGGACUGAGACACGGCCCAGACUCCUACGGGAGGCAGCAGUGGGGGAUAUUGCGCAAUGGGGGCAACCCUGACGCAGCAACGCCGCGUGAAGGAUGAAGGUUUUCGGAUUGUAAACUUCUUUUAUUAAGGACGAAACUUGACGGUACUUAAUGAAUAAGCUCCGGC
rnacentral:rRNA from 1 species